AUGAAUGGCAGAGACUUUUCCCUAAAUGGGUUACUUGAUUUAAGAGCUGCUGGCUAAUUUUGGUUGGAUACUUUAAUAGAAGAGGGAAGAGAAAAGGAAAGAAAGGGGCUUGAAGAAAGAGGUAGAGAAAAGAAACACAAGGAUGGAGAACAAAGAGAGACCAUUUGUUCUCAAAUAGUAGCUGCCACUUCCAGCUGGGGGAGAAAUGAGAGCUCUGUUCGUGGUGAUCCAGUAUCUCCAGAGUCCAUCACCACUGCUGACCUCCCACUCUACAUCUCCAAGCGCUCUGCUAUACCUGCCACGAGCAGCUGUCACCUGCAGACUUUGGAAGGUUACAACCAAACCUCUGUUUUAUGACCUGCCUUCUGCUUCAACAUCCUGACUUCCCACAAACAAUUCUAAUAAAGAGCAAUUAACCUGAAA